CAACCUCAACUCAUAUGGGACUACCCCCUGAAUUUAAGCAUAUUAAUUAGGGGAGGAAAAGAAACUAACAAGGAUUUUCUUAGUAGCGGCGAGCGAAAAGAAAACAGUUCAGCACUAAGUCACUUUGUCUAUAUGGCAAAUGUGAGAUGCAGUGUAUGGAGCGUCAAUAUUCUAGUAUGAGAAAUUAAUGAUUUAAGUCCUUCUUAAAUGAGGCCAUUUACCCAUAGAGGGUGCCAGGCCCGUAUAACGUUAAUGAUUGCUAGAUGAUGUUUCCAAAGAGUCGUGUUGCUUGAUAGUGCAGCACUAAGUGGGUGGUAAACUCCAUCUAAAACUAAAUAUAACCAUGAGACCGAUAGUAAACAAGUACCGUGAGGGAAAGUUGAAAAGAACUCUGAAUAGAGAGUUAAACAGUACGUGAAACUGCUUAGAGGUUAAGCCCGAUGAACCUGAAUAUCCGUUAUGGAAAAUUCAUCAUUAAAAUUGUAAUAUUUAAAUAAUAUUAUUAAGAAUAAUGUGCAUUUUUUCCAUAUAAGGACAUUGUAAUCUAUUAGCAUAUCCCAAAUUUAUCAUAAAAUAUAACUUAUAGUUUAUUCCAAUUAAAUUGCUUGCAUUUUAACACAGAAUAAAUGUUAUUAAUUUGAUAAAGUGCUGAUAGAUUUAUAUUAUUACAGAGCGUUAAUUUUUCGGAAUUAUAUAAUGGCAUAAUUAUCAUUGAUUUUGUGUUUAUUAUAUGCUCUUGUAUGAUUAACAAUGCGAAAGAUUCAGGAUACCUUCGGGACCCGUCUUGAAACACGGACCAAGGAGUCUAACAUAUGUGCAAGUUAUUGGGAUGUAAACCUAAUAGCGUAAUUAACUUGACUAAUAAUGGGAUUAGUUUUUUAGCUAUUUAUAGCUAAUUAACACAAUCCCGGGGCGUUCUAUAUAGUUAUGUAUAAUGUAUAUUUAUAUUAUUUAUGCCUCUAACUGGAACGUACCUUGAGCAUAUAUGCUGUGACCCGAAAGAUGGUGAACUAUACUUGAUCAGGUUGAAGUCAGGGGAAACCCUGAUGGAAGACCGAAACAGUUCUGACGUGCAAAUCGAUUGUCAGAAUUGAGUAUAGGGGCGAAAGACCAAUCGAACCAUCUAGUAGCUGGUUCCUUCCGAAGUUUCCCUCAGGAUAGCUGGUGCAUUUUAAUAUUAUAUAAAAUAAUCUUAUCUGGUAAAGCGAAUGAUUAGAGGCCUUAGGGUCGAAACGAUCUUAACCUAUUCUCAAACUUUAAAUGGGUAAGAACCUUAACUUUCUUGAUAUGAAGUUCAAGGUUAUGAUAUAAUGUGCCCAGUGGGCCACUUUUGGUAAGCAGAACUGGCGCUGUGGGAUGAACCAAACGUAAUGUUACGGUGCCCAAAUUAACAACUCAUGCAGAUACCAUGAAAGGCGUUGGUUGCUUAAAACAGCAGGACGGUGAUCAUGGAAGUCGAAAUCCGCUAAGGAGUGUGUAACAACUCACCUGCCGAAGCAACUAGCCCUUAAAAUGGAUGGCGCUUAAGUUGUAUACCUAUACAUUACCGCUAAAGUAGAUGAUUUAUAUUACUUGUGAUAUAAAUUUUGAAACUUUAGUGAGUAGGAAGGUACAAUGGUAUGCGUAGAAGUGGUUUGGCGUAAGCCUUGCAUUGGAGCUGCCAUUG
rnacentral:ncRNA from 1 species